AGAGUUUGAUCCUGGCUCAGAACGUACGCUGGCGGCACGCCUAAUACAUGCAAGUCGAACGAAGUAGCAAUACUUAGUGGCAGACGGGUGAGUAACAUGUAGGUAUCUACCCUUUGGCCUGGAAUAACACGAGGAAACUUGUGCUAAUACCGGAUAAGUCUUUACGGAGAAAGCUUUAUGCACCAUUGGAUGAGCCUGCACUUGAUUAGUUUGUUGGUGGGGUAAUGGCCUACCAAGACAAUGAUCAAUAGCUGAUUUGAGAGGAUGAUCAGCCACAUUGGGACUGAGACACGGCCCAAACUCCUACGGGAGGCAGCAGUAGGGAAUCUUGCACAAUGGAGGAAACUCUGAUGCAGCGAUGCCGCGUGAGUGAAGAAGGCCUUUGGGUUGUAAAGCUCUUUCGUCGGGGAAGAAAAUGACUGUACCCGAAUAAGAAGGUCCGGCUAACUUCGUGCCAGCAGCCGCGGUAAUACGAAGGGACCUAGCGUAGUUCGGAAUUACUGGGCUUAAAGAGUUCGUAGGUGGUUAAAAAAGUUGGUGGUGAAAUCCCAGAGCUUAACUCUGGAACUGCCACCAAAACUUUUUAGCUAGAGUAUGAUAGAGGAAAGCAGAAUUUCUAGUGUAGAGGUGAAAUUCGUAGAUAUUAGAAAGAAUACCGAUUGCGAAGGCAGCUUUCUGGAUCAUUACUGACACUGAGGAACGAAAGCAUGGGUAGCGAAGAGGAUUAGAUACCCUCGUAGUCCAUGCCGUAAACGAUGUGUGUUAGACGUUGGAAAUUUAUUUUCAGUGUCGCAGCGAAAGCGAUAAACACACCGCCUGGGGAGUACGACCGCAAGGUUAAAACUCAAAUGAAUUGACGGGGACCCGCACAAGUAGUGGAGCAUGUGGUUUAAUUCGAAGAUACGCGCAGAACCUUACCAACACUUGACAUGUUCGUCGCGACUCUAAGAGAUUAGAGUUUUCGGUUCGGCCGGACGAAACACAGGUGCUGCAUGGCUGUCGUCAGCUCGUGUCGUGAGAUGUUGGGUUAAGUCCCGCAACGAGCGCAACCCUUACUUUUAGUUGCCAUCAUUUAGUUGGGCACUCUGAAAGAACUGCCAGUGAUAAGCUGGAGGAAGGUGGGGAUGACGUCAAGUCCUCAUGGCCCUUAUGUGUUGGGCUACACACGUGCUACAAUGGUAUCUACAACAGGAAGCAAGAUGGCAACAUUAAGCAAAUCCCAAAAAGAUACCUCAGUUCGGAUUGCACUCUGCAACUCGAGUGCAUGAAGCUGGAAUUACUAGUAAUCGUGGAUCAGCGUGCCACGGUGAAUACGUUCCCGGGUCUUGUACACACCGCCCGUCACACCAUGGGAGUUGGUUCUACCUUAAGGCAAGGUUUAAUACCCUUGACCACGGUAUAGUCAGCGACUGGGGUGAAGUCGUAACAAGGUAACC
rnacentral:rRNA from 1 species